UCCAGUCAGCAGACGGCGAUGUGCGUCUUUCAGGCGAUGCUGCAGCGUGACGUAUAAUCUAGUGGACGGAACGGAUCAACAACAGCGAGUCAGCCACCUUGGUAGCCUACAGCCGAAACAUUUAGACUGUUUCUGUGCAUAUUUGCCUCUGUGUUUUAAAUAUACUUCUGACAUCUAGUUAAUUGCCCCCAUUUAAAUGUUAUAGGUACAUUGUUAGUCAACUAGCUGGCUUGAUAAGUUAGCCUAGCACUAAACUAGUCGCUCAUGCUAACUAGCUAGCUAACAUCCCCGACCAUGAGCUCACUGAUGUAUUCCUCGCCUACUAAAGAAGGAUAGGUCUGCUGGACGGAGAAAGAAGCUCUGUGGCUGAACAUUGUCAUGAAAGAGGAGAAGGAAGACGCGUUCAGAGUGAAGGAGGAGGAGGAUGUUACUGUAAAAGAAGAGGAGGAAGAGAAAGAAGAGGAUGCAGUUUUUGGAGUGAAGAAAGGGAGAGAUAACGGUCAUAUUGACAGAGGAGUCAGGAGAUCUGAUUACCAUCAGAGAGAGACCAGACUCUGACAGCAGGAAGAGUUCCUCAGGGGAAACAGACCCAGAGACACCUAACCAACACCACUGCUCCCACUGUGGAAAGAGUUUUAGGUGGUUAGGGAGCCUGAAAAUGCAUGAGAGAACACAUACAGGAGAAAAGCCCUACCACUGUUCCCACUGUGGAAAGAAUUUUACUCAGUUAGGAGCCCUGGUUGGGCAUGAGAGAACACACACGGGAGAGAAGCCUUAUCACUGUUCCCACUGUGGAAAGAGUUUUAGGUGGUUAUGGGUCCUGAAAAAGCAUGAGAGAAUACACACGGGAGAGAAACCUUAUCACUGUUCUCACUGUGGAAACAGUUUUAGGUGGUUAGUGAGCCUGAAAACGCAUGAGAGAAUACACACAGGAGAAAAGCCUUUCCAAUGUUCCCAGUGUGAAAAGAGUUUUAGGUGGUCGGGGAGUCUGAAAAAGCAUACGAGAAAACACACAGGAGAAAAGCCUUUCCAACAUACUAAUACACAGGAGGAGAAGACAUACCACUGUUCUCAUUGUGAAAAGACAUUUUCCCAGUCAGAGGACCUGAAAUCACACGAGAGAAUAGAGAGGCUGUGUUCUGACUUGUGUUUCUGACUGAGAAUUUGUCCACGGCCAGGAUUCAUAGGGCCAGGGUGUCCGCUAUGGACGCCUGGAAAAAAUCAGCAGUGGACAUUUCUGAACGUUUAUCCAACAGACCUGUACAUCCAUGAAUGGAUCUCUAUAAUGUGUAACUAUUUCUGAUGUAUGUGUUGUGAUGUAUUGUUUAAUAGAUGUACUAUGUUAGGUAUAUUUAUCUGUGGUUUAAUUUCAACAGAUUUUACUGAUGCUAUUAGAUUGCUGUGUGGGGGGAGUUUUAUAUAUACAGUGCCUUCAGAAAGUAUUCACACCC